rnacentral:lncRNA from 1 species
UGGUCAAGAACCAUGUAAUUUAUGCCUUGAAUUUCAGAUUGGCAAAUAUACAUUUGCAGUUAUACACAGUAUAUGAUUAAAUGACAAUAUCCUAUAUGUUUGUCUAUAUCUAUACGUACUAAUCUAUUAAAAAAGUUUAAAGCAAAAGAGUAUAUAGCACAUAGCUAGGCUAAAUAGUUGCGAUUAAAUAGUUUUACAAUCCCAGCUGUUAUUGUCAUUUCCAGCAAAGGUUUUUUUACCCUAAUGUCAUUAUAGUCUGGCAAAAUUAGCAUAAUUUUGUCCGUUCCAAAUCAUUCAUUCUGUAUAUGGAUGAUCUGAAUUAUCUAAUAACGAAUUGAACUGGAAUAUUGAUGUAAUAACCAAGCAAUAUUAUAUUAAGAAACUUGUCUGACCUUAGAGGUUAACCUCC